GGUAUGUUUGCUUUCUUGCGAAGUUCUCAUGAGAGUUUCUUGUCCUGUGUUCAACGCACACCAAAGGAAACGCAACAUGCUUGCCUGUUCUCCCUUUUCUGGUCCUUCUGUGCUUGUCUUUUUCGUCCAAGUCUCCCAGCCAAUGCUGUUGCUGAUUGUGUCACAUGGUGGAAUGCCAAAAAAGAAAGCCCCUCCAAAGCCCAGCCACUCGCUCUAAGUUCACUGGUGACCUGAGGCAGGAUCCUGUCGUGAGUGCACCAAGGAUGUCGCAUCCCACUUCUGGAAUAAAUGGUUUCGCUUCAAGCUAUCAACCAGAGAAAUGUCAACUGCCCUCUCCAGCUUCAACAGAGUGAAGAAUUCCUGUGUGAGCCUCCCCCACCCAACUGCCAGAAACACGGUGGUAAUAAUUCACAGUCCCACCAGGGAAGUGGAUGCCUUCCUGUUUCCCCACAUUCCCAUCAGCCGAGAGGAUAAAUAAGAAACUUGUUUUAUGUCGCAUCUCCCUACAGUUGGCAGGGGAAGGAAGAGGAUGCUGGGAUCUGACUGAAAUGCACAGCUAAUCCCACCUGAGGAAGUCUUCCUGCCGCCCCUCCUCCUCCACCCUGGUUUCCCCCAGCUCCCGACCUCCUGCCCGGGUCCCCUCCCUUGCUCUCUGUCCCCCUCUCACGCAUCAUCAAAUGAUGCUUCGACCAAA